rnacentral:rRNA from 1 species
CCUACGGGGGGCAGCAGCUAGGAAUCUUGGGAAUGGGCGAAAGCCUGACCCAGCAACGCCGCGUGGGCGAUGAAGGCCUUCGGGUCGUAAAGCCCUUUUGCAGGGGACGAUAAUGACGGUACCUUGCGACUAAGCCACGGCUAACUACGUGCCAGCCGCCGCGGUAAUACUUAGGUGGCAAGCGUUGUCCGGAGUUACGUGGCGUAAAGGGCGUGCAGGCGGUUUGUUAAGUCUAGGGUGAAAGCUCCCGGCUCAACUGGGAGAGGGCCUUGGAUACUGGCGAACUUGAGGGAUGCAGAGGAAAGUGGAAUUCCCGGUGUAGUGGUGAUAUGCGUAGAUAUCGGGAGGAACACCAGUGGCGAAGGCGGCUUUCUGGGCAUUUCCUGACGCUGAGACGCGAAAGCGUGGGGAGCGAACCGGAUUAGAUACCCGUGUAGUC